AAAUUGGAGGAAAUUUUUGGUUUGUUAAAUAUGCAACUACAGGAAUUGAAGUCUCUAACAAGUGCCAUACUGAGUUUGGAAGAAGAGCUUCCGUUGCUGAAGGACAUCAUCAAGUUGACGUUUCAAUUCCAAAGCUAUAUGCAAACCACAAGAUCGACUAUUGACUUUGAUUGAAAUCUUCCUUGCUUCAAGCGUUAGUGAAAUCCUCAAAUGUGCCUUAUCCUGAUGCGUACAUGGAGGGCGGUGAAAGAAACUAUGGCACAGAUUUGCAAAGAGGAGAGGAACCGUCAUGCCAUAGAGUAAGGUGUGGGACGUCUACUUGCUUUUAGACGAUUUUGGUGGGUCGAUGCUAUUUUCUUAUGCAGGAUAUCAUUGAUCUCUACCCAACUCAAAUCAGAUUGCUUUCUAGAGGGUUUUCUUUUCUGGUUAAAGAAAAACCCUCCAACCCCAACGGAAAAAAUGUGAGAUCCGGAAGGAGUGUAUGGAUGUCUUUUGCAUCCUGCAUCGGAAUUUUCUGAAUUGAUGGCCCAUAACAUCAUAUUUUAAUACCCUUGGGAGGUCAGGCUGGUCCAUAGUAACUCGAAUUCUACWCAUGAAUCACAAAUACAGAGCGAAAAUUUUUGUUCCAUGCUACUGAAUUAUGGGAUGAACUAUCAGAAGAAUAGUGAUGAUUCAGCAACAUAACGUCAGAAUCCCAGGGCAUGUACCUGAGCACCCACUCAGGCGGACAUGGGUACCUCAGCCACCGCCAGAAGCAGCUGAAGCUAUCCGACGGUCUAAGUGAAUUGUCCAGACUAAAACAUUGGCUAACAAUCAGCUGGUCACACCUCCAGAUAUGGCUAGCGAGUUGCAAAGGACUACAAAAAAUGGGUCAGCAGGUGAAGUGGGAUUGUUGGGCGAAGUUUUAGGACCAAUUUGGCACUCAACUGAAAUACAGGAGGAAUAGGAAAAUAAGUAGAGACUCAUAGACCAAUGGAUGCUUCAAAAUUCAAAUCAAAGCCCAAAUACUGUCACCUACUUCUAUUGCAUUGCAACACCAUGAAAAUAUCAAAUCGAGAGUCGAAUGUAUGAACAUAUGAAAUGUUGCCUCGAUGUCAGAAAGCACGUUCUUCGCGUAGAAGCCCGAACUCUUGGACGAAGGUCAGAUUCAGCAAAUGGACUCAUUUAAGAUCCUAAUAACAAUUUAUGGGUGUCACCUUUGCCUAUUCCAAUGGCAAAAAAAUCAAUGUUUUAUCUUUUUCAAUUACCAAGUAGCAAGCAUGUUGUUGUUUUGCCAUUAUUUGGACUGCCGAGAUGAGGGGUGGCGGGGGACGGCGGCGCCGCCAGUAAUGGGUGAGUAGCCACCACAAAUGCCGUUCGUCGGACAUAAAAUUUAGGACUCCCCCUUGUUUCUGCAACAGCCCCCUGUUUUGUAAUUUUCAAGCAAAGGCUGAGACUCA